AGUAUCUUACUCUCUUUCCACCCACACGUGUGUGUGGCAUCUGGUGUCCGGACCUAUGCCACGUUGCCAUUUUUUUCACCUCCCAGGGUAGUAGUUGUGCUUUUAUUACUUCUUGAUAAAGCAAAUGUGUCAUGACGAAAAGGUGCGUGAAUUUGGGAAUGCUUCUAAAUGAGUUUAUAUUUUAUGGCUCAGCAGCCUCUUGUGCCAUUUGGAAGCUGGCUGUGCUCUGCAAGACAAGAGACUGCUCUGGAUAUGAGGCUUGGGCUGCAUGUAGAGUUUUGGAAGAGGCCAGAUGUGGGGAGCCACGAUGAGCCCCACUCCGCCAGGACCAUUCCUAGGCUUCAAGGACAACAAGUGGGGUCCCAGUUGAGUGGCCUUUGUCCCUGUCUGAUUUCCCUCCUCUUGCCUUCUUAUCUUCUGGCUCUCAGCCACUCGGCCAUUGCCUUGCCCAGUUAGUACCUGGGCUAGGAGAGUCAGAAAGGACAGAUAUGUGGCAGCCUGCCUGCCUUCAUUACACUUUCUUGGGGCACUGUUGUGAAACUCCUCUCUAAAGACAUUUAGAGGAUUCUCAGGGGAUGUCACUGAUCUGUAACUGAUCUGAGGCUCCUUGGAUGAUCAAAGGUGGAUUUGUGGAGUCUCCUGGGGUCCCCCUAGUAAUGGACUUUCAGGAGCUCCCUGAUGAGCUCAUCCCAGCACCCCAAAGAGCAGGUAAGCACGAAUCAAGCUUGCACAUACUAGGUAUUCACCGAGUAUCCAGUGUUGAUGAACAGUGGUGGUGAGGGCCUUUGGACAGGAGUGUGGCAGCUGUAGUCCUGCAGGAGACAACUGACAGAUGCUGAGGGCCUGGGUGGUGGUAGUCUGAGUCACCAAGGACCACCCCAGAGAUGAGGUUGAUUGCUGGGACCAGGGCAGAGGCCCAGUUGGCUCCUCAGGACUAAGAGGUGUGUCCUGGAAUCAGAAGGAGGACAGGGGCCAGGGAAGCUGGCCUUGUCAUUGGGAUGGGGUCAUAGCCUAGGAUGACCUCAGCCCCUGCCAUGCUGCUCAGCGCCCCUCUCUGAGCUGGUGCGUCCAAUGGUAGGCUGGUUGGAACUGGCACAGACCUCCCAGCUCCCUACCAGCCAGCCUAGCUGCGUUUUUUCUUUGGCUAACAGCCCAUCAGAUUCCAAGGUGCUGGCCAUACUGACAUGUCCCUCUUCAUCCUGCCCCUUCCUCUCUGGAGGGUGGGGUUAUUGCAUUUGGCUGAGCCCUGCUUCAGAAAAUCACAGGGAAUUUCUGGUCCUUUUGUGUGGGUUUGUGGACCUUAAAGGAAGUAAAACCUGGGUCUUGGUUUUCCUUCUCCUUCCAGUCCCUCUGCUGAGGGUUCUCUCUGGAGUGUUGGACGUCAGCAGCCCACUGUCUUUAGCCACAGUAUCCCGAGGGGUGUGGAUCUAGAUAACUGUGGGGCCUCAGCAAAGCUUUCACCUGCCUCCUGCUCCCUUUCUGUUGGGACUUUGGGAGUGGCAUUUGGGAGUGGGGAUAGGUGUGAAAAGACUGUCUUCUUUGAUUUAUUAGGCCAGAGAGUUGUUUGGCAGAAACCUAUCUUGUCCCCCAGGAACAGGAAGAAUGGUUGUGUGUUAGGUACCGGGGCCUCAGGAGACCCGAGGUCUUGUCCUAGUGCUGCCUGUGGCCACUUUGUGAUGCUGGAUAAGUCACACCUGAAACCACCUAUAAACCGAGAAAUUGGAUGGUAGGAUGGUGGUGGGGCUCUGUUCUAAAGGCUGUACUUGGAUUAUCACAUGCAGAUGAUCUCUGGGGUCUGCGGUGAUGCCAACAUUCUGUGUUUCUGCCCUCUUGGACACUCAGCAGAGUUAAGCACUUCUUUUUUUAAAAACAAAAUUAGUUACUUUUUUAUUUUUUGAGACAGGGUCUCGCUCUGUCACCCAGGCUGGAGUGCAGUGGCAUGAUCUCAGCUUACUGCAGCUUCUACCUCCUGGGCUCAAUUGAGUCUCCCACCUCAGUUUCCCAAGUAGGUGGGCCCACAGGAGUGUGUCGUCAUGCCCAGAUAAUUUUAUUUUUUUUGUAGGGACAGGGUCUUGCUGUGUUACCCAGGCUGGUCUCAAACUCCUGGGCUUAAACGAUCUCCUGCCUCGGCCUCCCAAAGUGCUGGGAUUACAGGCAUGAACCACCAUACUCAUCCGAGUCAGGCACUUCUAAAGGUGACCUUGCAGUUGACUCCUGGGCUUUGUAGCCUGGCCCUGAAGUUAACUAUUCGGCGAACACAGCUUCUUUAGGAGCCCUCUGUGUCUUCAGCUUUGAGGAGUUUGUUCUCACCCUCUAGGGAGGAUGCAAGUGGGGCCAGGUGAAUGUGCUUCCUUUAUAGACAGACCCAGAAGCCAGUGCUCUUGUGUGUCCUGGGCUCUGCAUUCACUCUGGCUCUGGAAAUACCUGCUUAGGGUGUGGUCCUGAGUGGGAGGCCAGGUGCCUGGGGAGGGGAGAAUCAGGGAGGCACUCUCCCUUGUUUGGUGUUGGUGAAGGGUAACUUAGCUCUGCCUUCUAGUCUGGGUGCUCCAGGUGUGUCUGGGGGUGGGGAUGCUGGAGGUGGCUCAGGAGAAUUGCAAGGUGGACUGAUCAUAAUUGGUCCUUUGUGUAGACUUGGCUGACCCACAGGCCUGGUGUGAGGAGGCUGCUUGCCUGUGGGCUCAGUGGGUCUGAAACACUGGCUGGAGCCAGGGAGCAAGGCUUUCAGCCUGGAAUCUGCCCAAGGGACUGGUGUCAAUAGGUGGCCUUGUCUUUCACUUGUUUAUUUGCAGAGCCCAGCUCUGGCCCUUCUCUCCUUUGCAGCAGUUUGAAGAAAUCAAUAGAAUGCCCAAGCCAGAAGGGACCUGCACUGUCACCUACCCCUCUUCUCCCUCAGAUAAAGGGAUGAGGUCCAUAGUGGUGAUCUGAUUUGUCCAAGGACAGUCUGCCAUGAGUUCAUUCCUUGUGGGGCUAGAUUUGGUAAGGAUUCUUUAUUCUGGGUACACGUAAGCCAUCUUCUGAAGUUAUCCUUGCAGGUGGGCUCCAGAACACCUGCAGAUAGAUGCACAUGGGGCGGGCCUCUGUAUUCUGAAGGCAGAUGAAGCUGCUGGGGUUCUGGCUAGUGUGUGGGUGGUCAAUUUCAGAUGAAUUUCACACAUGCAGGCAGCUGCACCCUGCCAAGUUGGAGGUAGUGAUCCACAUGCGGGCCCUUACACUCUGAUGUUCCUGGGACUGGCUCUUGCGUUUGCAGUUGAGGAGGGAAUGGAGAGAUGAGCCUGCAGGAGAGAGGCAGCCUGGUGGCGGCGGUGAUCUUGGUGUUAACAGCCAGCACUUAUUACCGCAUGUCCAGCACUGUGCUAAGUCCAUUACGUGCAUUAUACCAAGGAAUCAUCAUAGCCGCCCUAUGAGGAAAAGGUACUGUGACAUUUUUAGUCCCACUUUACAGAAGGAACUGAGGCUUAGAGAGAUUAAAUAUUUUCUCCCAACUCACAGCUUUUAGUGGGGCAGUUGGGCUUUGAUUUCAGGGCUGCCUGGCCAGAGUCCACACUGCUAACCCCUGUCCUAGUUGCUUCCUCUCUGCUAGCUCAUUCCUUCUGGUAGCAAGCACCAGCUGUCAGCCCUGACUGGAGAAGGGAGGCCCCUCAUGAGAGAUGGAGCUGAGUCUCCACCCUCCCGGGCCCCAUACACUUCUCUCCUGACCCGUACAUUCCUGUGCACCAGGGAAGUGGCCCCUCUCUGGUCGUGGAGACUGAAGUCCCCGUGCUGUGUUGAGCAGUGGAGGUGGGGGUGGCUCAGGUAGAAUGGAGGGUACUUGACUCCUGUUUUUUGAGGGAAAGUUGCCUUUAAGUUGGAGGGAUGCUGUUGGCUUCCUGCAGCUGCUUGCUGCCUUUUGAUGACGCCCCUGUGCAUGGGGGCCUUCAAGUGUAGGUGGAAUAGGCAGGGUUGGAAAGGCUCUUUUCUCCCCACAGUCCAGGAGAGGCAGUGCUGGAGCCCCUUAUUUGCUGUUCAUCCUUUGAUGGGUCAGCAUAACCUUUAUGUUACAAAUGCCAAUAGAUAUUUAAUUCCUGGGGUGGCAUAAGGUAGCAAGCAAUUUAGAAUUUAAUAAAAUUACAAAUUCUUGGGGAGAUGAUUCUGAUUUCUCUCUUUAUCCAUGAUGCAUGCUAGUUGCAUGAAUAAAUGAAUGAAUUUUUUUAAAACUUAUGGAAAAUUCACACACAGGAGUAGAGAGAAUAGUAUAGUGAUUUCCCAUAUACCCAUUACUCAGCUUCAGCAAUUAGCAACAGAAUUGCCUGUAAUAUUUAAUCAUCUGGGCUAUUUUAUUGGCACUGAGAUUAGUGUGCUAGUGUGAACUGCUAGGAACUUCUCAAGUGAGAAAGGACAAGCGGAGAAGAAAUGAUAUCAUAGUAUGAAUAAAAACUCAUCUUUGUGGUGCUGCCAUGCUAGGCAAGUUGCAGGUGCUCACCGGAGGGUUUGAACUAACUGCUCUGGAUAACUGGCCAGGUGGUGUUGGGUUCCAGCCCCAGGUGGGAGGAAAGUUUCUGAAGGGUGAGUUCAGCUGGAUACGUGAGAUUCUCAAACACACACUGGGGCAGAAGGCACUGCAGCCAGCCCUAGUUCAUCUACUCAACUCAUGUUUACUGUGGAUCAUCUUU